rnacentral:rRNA from 1 species
GCGAGCGAAACGGGAAGAGCCCAAACCAACAAGCUUGCUUGUUGGGGUUGUAGGACUCCAAUAUGGUAGUCUGUUAGUAUAGUUGAAGGAUUUGGAAAAUUCCGCUAAAGAGGGUGAAAGCCCCGUAGACGAAAUGCUGACAACACCUAGGAGGAUCCUGAGUACGGCGGAACACGAGAAAUUCCGUCGGAAUCCGCGGGGACCAUCCCGCAAGGCUAAAUACUCCCUAGUGACCGAUAGUGAACCAGUACCGUGAGGGAAAGGUGAAAAGCACCCCGGAAGGGGAGUGAAAUAGAUCCUGAAACCGUGUGCCUACAACAAGUCAAAGCUCGUUAAUGAGUGAUGGCGUGCCUUUUGUAGAAUGAACCGGCGAGUUACGAUUGCAUGCGAGGUUAAGUCGAAGAGACGGAGCCGCAGCGAAAGCGAGUCUGAAUAGGGCGAAUGAGUAUGUAGUCGUAGACCCGAAACCAUGUGAUCUACCCAUGUCCAGGUUGAAGGUGCGGUAAAACGCACUGGAGGACCGAACCCACGUACGUUGAAAAGUGCGGGGAUGAGGUGUGGGUAGCGGAGAAAUUCCAAACGAACUUGGAGAUAGCUGGUUCUCUCCGAAAUAGCUUUAGGGCUAGCCUCGGAAUUGAGAAUGAUGGAGGUAGAGCACU